AAAUUACUUGCUCAAAGCCACACAGUCAUGUAGCACAUGGAUGUGUGUGACUGACAGGGAGCACAAACAUUGUUCUUAUCCAUUGCUAUCUCUCCUGUGGCUAGAAGCAUGCUGGCAUACUAAGGAGACUUAACAAAUACUUGCUAAAUGAGUAACCUGAAAUCUACGUCUAACUCUAGCCAACAACCAAGAGAGAAGGUUGUGCAAUAAAAAAAAAAAAAAAUGGAAACAUCUCCCCUUCCUGUCAAAACACAGCUGUAUUAAGGGUAUGCUGUUGGACAGAUGGACAAGUGAGAGAUUGAGCCAUCUUUUACAAAACUGAUUCCAAGAAUCCAUGCAUACUGUCAGAAACCCAGUGCCAAAUUCCACUUGUUGCGCAAGUAGAAAAAGAACCAACUGCGACUUACAAGUCUAGAGCUGUAUUAAAAAGAUACAAGAUUCAAUGAGUAACAUUCUAUAGGAAGAGCAUAUCAUUGUCAGCAACUAUUAUCAGCCCAUACAUGUUCUCUCAUUUGAUUCUCAUACCCACCUAUUGAGAUAAGUAAGCCUGAUAUUCCCAGUAUACAAAUGAAGAAAGAGGUUCAGAAAUCUAUUAUGUAACAUUUUAAAGUCAUACUCCAAAGUGGAACUAGCAUGUGGAUCCAGAACUUGAGACUGUGAAACACACCUCCAUAUAGGACUCUGCAUGUGUGUUUUACAUUAAGCAGGUCUACAUUCUUUGCCAGCAUUACCCACUCCUCGAAGAUUCUACCUCUGGCUCUCUGCUGCACAAGUGUGGAGAUGGACAGUUUGGAAUCUGGUGAGAAAAGUGCAGUUUUCUGUACCCUGCCCAUGCUCACUUCAAUUUCUCAAACAUGGACUGGUCCUUGGAGCUUAACCAAUACAAACUAAAAGUUCAUGCGGUGUUCCUGGCAAACAGCUUUAAAGUAGAACACAAAGGGGAACUUCGUGUUGCUGGUCCAUCUCUCUCCCAGCUCUUACCCUCACCCAGGCAGGCCUGGAGAAAUGACAAAAUAGACUGUGUCCUUGCCCGCUAGGGAACAAAACCACAGAAGGGAAAGUUGUUGAGGCUAUCCUUCCAGGGCCCUCAUGGCAUGGAAAGUCUAAAGAGAACACUGUUUCCUUAAGACCCGUGAAAUCAGCAGACCAGAUGAACUCAAGACCUUAAGGAUUUUAGGAAAUCAAUGAGUAGCAAAACUGUACAAACACUGUAGAACCCGGAAACAUGGAGAAUGUGGGAAUUCGGAAACUGUUUAAAAGAGCCAAGCAUUGGCUUUGUCAGGUAAACAGGAGAUGAUGUACACACUCCUAUAUUCAUUAAAUUUACCUUUUUUGAGUAGUA
rnacentral:lncRNA from 1 species